GAAAUUUUUGGAAAUUUUUCUUGAAAAAACCUUGUGUAGUAAUGUCACCAAAAAUUUAAUGAAAUUAACACGAAAAUAUUGGUCCCCUAGUAGCGCAAAUGGCGUACAUUUUAUUCCGCUGAAUCUUUCUCCUAUUCUUCUCACAAAAUUAAUCGACACUAUAAUCUGAAAAUUGUAUGCAUGUAUUAUAUUAUAAGUCAUUUUCCGUAAAAGUUUAUACAAUCGUAUAAAACAUAUUAAAAAAAUAAUAGUGCGUCUUCCGUUUGCCAAGAAAAAGGUAUUCUUAAUUUCGAGUUACAUUAUUUCAAUUAUUACUAUUAAAAUAAUUAAAACGUGUUGUUUUAUUUCAUACUUCUUCUUCUUCUUUCUUUACGUUUUACGUCGCAUCGACUACGAGGUCAUUAGCUGGUCAAUGUUGGGUCAACUAUUUGAAAUAAUUAUGAAAUAACUUGUUCUUUGGAAGUAUAUUUCCAGUAAUAUUAUUUCAGAGAUGCUCAGAUCUGACGUAUAUUCGCAUUCUUCUAUUUUUGCUGUUUAUACCAUGAAAUAUCACAGUUUCUUCUUUUUGCAUGAUUUUGACGAUUAUUUCUUGUGCCACGUUUGAAAUAAAAAACAAUAACAAAAUAAUUCCUUCUAUUAAAUUGCUGUUAUUUCAAACGAAUCGGUAUUAAUUAUAUUUUCAAAUAACAAUAUUAAAAAUGCUAUGAUACGAGAUAAGAUGAAACAUUUCAGAUAGUAAUUUCUUAUCUUAAUUCCAAAUACAAUUUGCCAAGUCUGAUCGAUACUCGCGUAUGGGCAUAUGACUUAAUAAUUGUAUAGAAACCUCGAGUCAGAGUCUCCAUUGAUAUACCAGUUUGCUUGGUAGCCGUUGUCCUACAGAAAUGCUAAACUCGUGUCGUUAUCUGUGGCCUCCAUGAUCGAAUCGUGCAAAUUGCUUCCUUCACAAGGUUGUAAAUCUCGAGCUGACCUUGCUAGUACACAAUUCUAUCACGAUUGUUGACUGCCAUACUAAUAUUGGGCAGCUGGUUGUAAACGGAGAGUAAGUGAAUAAUGCUCGGUAGUCAGCUGUGUGUGUUUGUUUCCCAACAAUGGAGUAUAUGCAUCGUUGUUUCUGUCCAAAUACUAGUUGUUGGCGCUUUGGUACAUGUCAAAAAAUUCGUGAUAAUUAUCAAAAGUGUGACGAUAUUCCACACGAAUCUCUGUUGUAAAAACACAGUUACCUAUGAACACUAGAAACUAAAGUAUUAAGUUUCGAGUUACCUUUUGUCUGUGUCGAUGAAAUGCCCUGAAGAAGAUGGGACACCUUUGCCGAAUGACCUGCAAGGACUUCGAUAAUAUCGACUUGACCAUGAAACAAAAUAUCGAGGACGAAUCAAAAUUGACAUUUGGAAUAUAGCCAUUACACGAGCAGAUAAAAUGUUUCGAAUGCUUACUGUAUCUAUCUUAUAGCCGGUGGCUAGUUCGAGGUAACACAUCAAGAGGAAAGUAGCGGAAAAUAAGUAAAGAAUACAAAAAACUUUCGGAAUUGAGAUGAGUUUGCUUGUAGAUAAAUCUGAAUCCAGAAUUUGGUACAAGUAAUGAUGGAAAUAUUGCUCGCUGAUUUUUCACGUAAUCUUCAUGAUGGGCAUCCACCUAAUAAAAAUAUAUUUUUUUUCACACGCACUGCUUAGAGAUUGCGAAGAAAUUUAUGAAGUUAUAUGGGUGAUAUAACCUGCCAACGGCUGUACAUAAAAUAUUGAUUCAUUUCUUCCAAUUGGAUAACUGGGAGGAGAAGCACAAGAAAACCGCAACAAAGAUAAAGAAAACAAUAGAAGAUAUUUUCCAUAAUUUGCUUGUAUCCUUGAAUCGAUAUAGUGUAAGCAAUAUAAGAGGAAUAUAACCCACAAAGGCAAAAAGAUAUCCCAAAGAUGUCAUUCAGUUUUUUGAUAUAAUACUUGGCAUCCUCAAUUUGCCAAAUUUGUCAAAAAUCGUGCAAAAUUGAUUUUACAGGAGGGGAAUGAGAAUGAAAACAACAAGAAGAAGAGUUAACAUCAUAUAGUAAACAUUAAGAAACUAUUAAAUAUACAUCAGAAUGUAUUUUACAUUUUUAUACUUGUAGAAUCAUAUCUGCAAUUUAUUCCAACAAUCUAUCUUAGGUUUAAAGAUACUACUUUCGACCAGGAUUUCGACAAAAUUUCCCACUAUGAGACGGGUCGACUAAAGGGCCGAUUAGCAAGAUAUUUUAGUAAGUCGCUUAGUGUGUGAAGGCGAAAAUAUGGUUGACUAGGUUUGUCGACGGUCGACUAGUCGACUCGACCAAUUCUAGACGACCGAUUUAAUCGACCCGCCUGUAACCGCUCUUAUGGGAAAGAUGAAGAUCGUUCGGAGCAAGGCCCGGAUUAUAGGGUGGAUGAUCUCACCCAAAACUACCCAACAGAGAGAAAGGGAUCAAGCUAUGAUAGCGAGAUUCAGAUGCGGUAAUGAGGAAAGAGUCAAUAAAUUCAGGGUAAAAUCAGAGGAUAAGAACUGUAGAUUACGUGGAUCAGGAGAAGAGAUAAUGGAAAAUUUUAUUGAAGAGUGCAGAUAAGUUGAAAGAGAACAAGAAUUAAGCAAAAGGGUGCUCAUGUGAGCACAAGAGGAAGGAAAGAGAUGGGCGAGGAAAAUAACAGAAAAAAGAAGGAAGUUCGCUAAAGUACCAGAAGUAUUCGGAGGUUUUUAAAUAUUUCAAGUACAUCAACUAUAAUAAUUAAAUAAGUAAAUUAUAAUAAUAUGUAUAUGAACCCUGACUGUAUAGACAUAGCCACGUGUCAAUCCCUUUUCAAGACCGAACAGUAAAAAAAUAAAGUUACCUAUUCAACAUUUA